CCUACGGGUGGCAGCAGUGGGGGAUAUUGGACAAUGGGGGGAACCCUGAUCCAGCGACGCCGCGUGAGUGAAGAAGUAUUUCGGUAUGUAAAGCUCUGUCAGCAGGGAAGAAAGAAAUGACGGUACCUGACCAAGAAGCCCCGGCUAACUACGUGCCAGCAGCCGCGUGAAUACGUAGGGGGCAAGCGGUAUCCGGAAUUACUGGGUGGAAAGGGAGGGUAGACGGUCAAGUAAGUCUGGGGUGAAAGGCCGGGGCCCCACCCCGGAAAUGCUCUGGAAACUAUUGAACUUGAGUGCAGGAGAGGUCAGCGGAAUUCCUAGUGUAGCGGUGAAAUGCGUAGAUAUUAGGAGGAACACCAGUGGCGAAGGCGGCUUACUGGACUGUAACUGACGUUGAGGCUCGAAAGCGUGGGGAGCAAACAGGAUUAGAUACCCCGGUAGUC
rnacentral:rRNA from 1 species